UACGUAGGGGGCGAGCGUUGUCCGGAUUGACUGGGCGUAAAGCGCGCGCAGGCGGCCUGACGCGCCGGCCGUGAAAUCCCCCGGCUCAACCGGGGCGGGUCGGUCGGGACGGUCAGGCUGGAGGGUGUCAGAGGGGGGUGGAAUGCCGCGUGGAGCAGUGAAAUGCGUAGAGAUGCGGCGGAACACCGGCGGCGAAGGCGGCCCCCUGGGGCACAUCUGACGCUGAGGCGCGAAGGCCGGGGGAGCGAACGGG
rnacentral:rRNA from 1 species